rnacentral:rRNA from 1 species
AAAUUGAAGAGUUUGAUCAUGGCUCAGAUUGAACGCUGGCGGCAGGCCUAACACAUGCAAGUCGAGCGGUAGCACAGGAGAGCUUGCUCUCCGGGUGACGAGCGGCGGACGGGUGAGUAAUGUCUGGGAAACUGCCUGAUGGAGGGGGAUAACUACUGGAAACGGUAGCUAAUACCGCAUAACGUCGCAAGACCAAAGAGGGGGACCUUCGGGCCUC